GGGCCGCGGCGCCCCGGCCCCCGCUCCCCUCCCCGUGCGGCCUGGGGGCUCCGGCUGGGGACGGCGGCGGUGGGCAGACGGGGUAGGAAGAACUAAGGGGGAGAGGCGCGGAGCCGCGAGGGCUGGGACCGGCUCAGAAGGCCGAGGAGAGAGGAGAGGGCCGGGAGACGGGGGGCGGGAGAGCGAGGGCGCCGGGCUGCGGCCGCCGCGGGGCUCCCGGCCCGGCCUCCACCUCGCGGCACCUGCUGCUGCUGCUGUUGCUGCUGCUGCUGCUGCUGCGGCCCGGGGCCGCCCACGUGGGGGCGUGCGUGCAGGCGGCGGUGCCCGCGCCCGGCCCGCCUGCCUCCGGCGCCGCGGCCGCGAGCGGAGGUGAUGGGGGGCGGGGGGGGGGGGACGGCGAGGCGACCCCCGAGUCCGGGGGGAGGGGACUCCCCGCGCCCAGACGCCACCUCCGAGACACCCUGCACCGAGCUUCUGGUCUCUGGAUUCCAGGCGGCUGCAAGUCCCCGACGAGGGUAAAAGUGGGUAAAAGCCUGGAUGAAUGUCCACCCUUCUUUGUACUGUGCAUCUGCGGCCCUAAGUGAAGUCGAAAUGCCAGAAUCACGUAGCAGACGCUGGCCAAUGAAUGGAAAGGCUGAGGUAUACGGGCACGACAGCAUGAGUGUACUGUGUGUGACCUGCAGGGGGGCCCUAUCCACAACAUAGUCCAAAGGGCCUGCCAUUAACUAUCAGCUCAGUCCCAUCACGAGGAAUGAGCUGGUGACAAGGGCGCCAGCAUCUGCAAAUGUUUAUUUGUAGCCCUCCUCCUUACGCCAGGACAUGUCACAAGAGAGGGCACUGCAGAAUUAUGCACACUGAUAGCAACGGAGAUAACAGGACAGGACCCUACAACAAAAGAAGACAAGUGGAUAGCGCAUCACCAUCAUCAUGAUGGAACGAGAACGGGAAAGAAGGCUAAUCCACUGAAAGUUACGGAGCUAAUUAAUAGAACGCAGCAACGCUAAGAACACCUUGGGUGGGAAGUCAGCAGGGUACUGCUGAGUUUGUACUAUCAGAGGACAUCAAGGAGAUAUGCCCAGGAUGCUGAAAGUCCCUCCAAAUGCCCAAAUCUGUUGCUCCAUUUCUGGACCCGAGCCAGGUUUCUGAACGAACCCACUGACUGAAGGGGGGCCAUGUCUCCAGAAGGAAGGACUCAACAUGCCACUUGGCAAUGCUUCUUCUGUCCUUCAGCCAGGGGCCCUCCAGUCAUCUCCAUGGGUGAGUGAGUUCCCGGUGUAUUAGUUUCUAAAGGCUGCUAUAACGAGGCAGCUUAAACAAGAUAAAAUUAUUCUCUCACAGCUCUGGAGGCUAGAAGUCUCAGAUGAAGGUAUAGGCAUGGUUGACUCCUUUUUGCUUGUUUGUUUGUUUGUUUGUUUGUUUGUUUUGUUUUAAUUAUUUGAGAGUGAGAGUGCACAUGUGAGCAGAGGAGGGGCAGAGAGAGAGAGAGAGAGAGAGAGAGAGAGAGAAUCCCAAGCAGGCUCUGAGCUAUCAGUGUAAAGCCUGACGGAGGGCUGGAACCCACCCACCACCCACAAGACCAUGACC
rnacentral:lncRNA from 1 species